AUGAAAUAGCAAUAGUAACAAGUGAAGUAAAUAGUAAAUGUAACUUGGUUGGAAAUGAUAUUAGAUGCAUGGCCACUAUUCAGGUGUUGGAGAUUAUAAUAUCUAUAGAUGCCUAUUUGUUGCAUGCAUGAUAUGUUAGAGCUCAACCGCUUAACUCAGUGAUCAGCAUUCGCAUGUUAACAAACUAGAUCUCGUUUCUCAACGGUUAGUAUGUUGACAACGAAAAAGUGUCGAUCGAUGGUCCGAUAGGGACGUCAACCGAUACACCUUUACUUACGUCGACCGAUAGUCAGUUGAGGACAUCGAUGACAGGUUCUGGCCAGGCCUAUGCGCGAGUAUGAUAUGCCCUAUUAAGAUACUAAAUUGGCGGUUAGCCCUCUCUAGCAGUCCUAAUAUGAUAGAUAGAUGUCAGGAUGAGAUAACAAGGGUGCUUGAGAAUGUAAUCCUAUGAAUACAAAUCUAUCAUGAAUUUCACAACAAGGCAGA
rnacentral:lncRNA from 1 species